AAUGGGGGAAACCCUGACGCAGCAACGCCGCGUGGGUGAUGAAGGUCUUCGGAUUGUAAAACCCUGUCUUCUGGGACGAUAAUGACGGUACCAGAGGAGGAAGCCACGGCUAACUACGUGCCAGCAGCCGCGGUAAUACGUAGGUGGCAAGCGUUGUCCGGAUUUACUGGGCGUAAAGGAUGCGUAGGCGGAUCUUUAAGUGGGAUGUGAAAUACCCGGGCUCAACUUGGGUGCUGCAUUCCAAACUGGGGAUCUAGAGUGCAGGAGAGGUAAGUGGAAUUCCUAGUGUAGCGGUGAAAUGCGUAGAGAUUAGGAAGAACACCAGUGGCGAAGGCGACUUACUGGACUGUAACUGACGCUGAGGCAUGAAAGCGUGGGUAGCAAA
rnacentral:rRNA from 1 species